rnacentral:rRNA from 1 species
CAGCCGCCGCGGUAACACGAAGGGGGCUAGCGUUGCUCGGAAUGACUGGGCGUAAAGGGCGCGUAGGCGGUUCGUACAGUUGGAUGUGAAAUUCCUGGGCUUAACCUGGGGGCUGCAUUCAAUACGUGCGGGCUUGAGUGUGGAAGAGGGUUGUGGAAUUCCCAGUGUAGAGGUGAAAUUCGUAGACAUUGGGAAGAACACCGGUGGCGAAGGCGGCAACCUGGUCCAUAACUGACGCUGAGGCGCGAAAGCGUGGGGAGCAAACAGGAUUAGAGACCCCGGUAGUCCCUGUCUCUUAUAC